rfam:Capsicum annuum cultivar Zunla-1 chromosome 5, whole genome shotgun sequence
UGAUGGUGAUGAGGACAAUUUCCAAAUAUGCCCUUGAAUCUCUCCCAAGGUUGAUAAAGAUUUUCUCCAUCUUUCUGUCUGAAACUCAAUAUCUCACUUCUCAAUCG